CGCCAACUGGUUUUUGUUAUAUGGUGGUCCAAACAUAAUGACCUCUACAGUAAAGGAAUAUACAAAAAUAUCUAGGUUUCAGUCUUAAUGUAUGUCAGCUUGUUAUUGACAUGCUGUCCAUAUUGCAGAUCAAGUUUUUAAGCAGAUGUAUCCGUGUGACCAUGUGGCGUAUUCAGUGUCAUUCUUGGCUCUUGUCGAAGCAUCGGAAGUUUCCACUGAGGAUCAAAUGUCGUCCCCUGAGCAGCGGGCCUGCUAAUAAGGCCCCAUUAGAAACCCAGCUACACAGACUCAGCAAAAUAGGUUAGGGACAGAGGAGAUGAUGACGACAUUACGAGGCUGACUGGUGUGUAGCGAUGGAGCCGGGAGCAAAAAAAAAUAAAAAAAAUACUGGAUGGUCACUAAAUGUCUGGAAGACGAAUGUGAAGAUCGAUGGGUUUUCUCCAGCAGGGCCGAGGUUAAAUCUGAUGCAAAGCAGAAAUGUACUUCAACAUUAUUUAUGUUCAGCCACUCAGUAAUAAACAUUGAUCAUUUUGUCGGCCUGACCUGUGAGGCUGCAGGUCACGGUCAUUCUUGCAGUAGGUAUACAGUAUUCAUGCUCAUAGAGGAGCUGCAUGUAGAUACAACACAUCAACGGAGACCAGCUCGUCUUUCUUCACGUUUUGGGAAAAAAAUAAGUGCGGUCAGUGGCCUUGAGGGAUGUAAUCUGCCAGGUUGACCUCCUGGCCUGUGACACCUCCGACUUCGAUUUGUUAUCUGCCUGUCAUCCGUAUCCACAGCUCUCCAGCAUUUCACCAUCAGGUCUGGUGCAGUGAACAUAAAGGAGCCCCGCUCUCUGCUGCAGGUCAGCUGCUACUCCAUCCCUACACAGUAGCUCACGUAAUGGAAUUAAACCCAUCUGUCAGUAUUUUAGCUGGAGUCAGCAGCUUUUCUCUCUCCUGGUUAUGCAAAUGGCCCUUGUCUAAAGUCCAUUUGUCUCCCGUGCAUGCCGCGAGGAUGGGAUGCCUCAGAAAUACGAGGUGCUGGUGACUGACACUGGCAUGUUUUGUGAGAUCUGUAUCACUCCUCAUUUUAAUGGAACACAUAGAUCUCAGCACCCUCUGCUUUUGAAUGAAGAGGCUCUUAACCUUGCCACAGCAACAGGAAGUUAUUGCCUUGUCAAGGUGCCUAAGUGGGGACAAUAUUGAGUUCUAGCUUGUUAAAGAAAUAGGUACAUAUUAUACUGUAGGAAGUACAUAUUCACCUUCUUGAUGAAAAUAUUGAUACCAAUCUCACGUCUGCACGGUUAAUAAUAAGAAACUCAAGUGGCCGGUAAGCCUUGAUAAGCAGAAGGACUGGAAGCAAGGAGGAAACUAUUAGCAUUGGUGCUGUCUAACUGAUUGAUCUACAAUUUAUUUAGGAUCAUACAAAAGAUUUGUUCAUACAAUUUUAGAGUUUGAUAAAAAGAUCAGUGUCACUCUCAUGUCUGUAUGGUAAAUAUUAAGUAAUGCCAGCUGCAGGUUAGCUUGUAUUAGCAAUUAAACUUAAGCGCUUAUUAAGCAGUGAUGCUAAAUUUUUGUUUUUUUUUAUCACUCUUAACACUAUCAACUCUCUUGUUGAGAGCAAAAUGUUAUCAUAGAUUAGCAUUAAGACUGGAAAUGGCGGUAAAUGAUAAAUGUAGGCGCUAUUUGAUUU
ensembl:lncRNA